UGUGCCACCUGCAGUUUGUGCUAGUAGCAGGAUCCUCUGGGAGACAUCACACUCUCCCAACCUGAAAACAGGUGAACAGCUCACAGGUUUCCUGGAGAGGAUGGUCACAUGGCCUUGAUCUGGCCAAUCAGCAUUUUCCAUCCUCCCUGGCCACUGUGAUUGGCUCAGGGCUGGGCACCAGCCCAAUCAGGCUCCACGGAGGUCAGACCUAGUUGCUGGAAUCGUGGGAGCAGAGAAGUUCUAUUUCAGUUGGGAGUUGAGGGGUGGUGAUGUCAGCCUGUGGCAGUUGGUGACUAUCUUGCUCUCAUAAAGGCAGAGCCAUGUGAAGAUGACACCAGUGGCAGAGCCCAGAGGUGGGGAAGGAUGACUUCUGCUGAUGUCACUGAGCACCAGGUACAGCCCUGCCUGAAGCUAUCUCCCUGUGGAUGUCUCAGGCUGUCUGCUGCAUGAGAAUGGAGACCUGCCUGCUUCACUCCCUGCUGUGCCCGGUAUAAGGAACCCGCCCAACACACAGUAGGACCUCAGCGAAUGUGUGACGGAUGUGUGAUCACUGUAGGCCACGGACAAAGGUCUUCCCAGCAGUGAUGAAACCCUGUGACAGAUCCUGUCCACAGCACCCUGCUCCUCCGAUCCUGACCCCAGGCUUUCCCAUGGUGUGUGACCCCUCAUGGGGUGCAGUCC